ACCGCGGCGGCGGCGGCGGCGGGCCCGGGGCGCGGGGACUGGCGGGCAAGAGGACGGGCGUGCGCGCGCGCGUGCGUGUGCGGGGCCUGGGCGCCUGUGCGUGUGUUCGUGUGUGUAUGUGUGUGUUUAUGUGUGUGUAUGUGUGUGUGUGUGUGCGCGCGCGCGGGGGGGGCUGGGGAGGGCGCGAGUGCGCGUGACAAGUGCUGCCCCUGCGGCUCCGCGACGCGCGCACUCUCCUCGCGCCCACCCGCGCGCCGGGCCGCGUACCCCCUGGCCCGGCGCCCCCGGACGGUGGACCCCGCCCCCAGAGGGGGCACCAGGUAACCCGCUUCCGAGAGUACCCCGGCAGCCCCAAUCCACACACCCCCGAGUCCUGGUAAAUCUCACGUUUUCUGCCGGCUCGAAAGGAAGAAUUGUAACGGCGAGGGGAGGUUCAUUUCGGCCUCGUGAAGUUUUCUUUCAAACUGGGAUUUGUGGUGAGGCCAGGCGAAAGGAGCGAGGCUGCUAUCCAGGCGCGCGACGCGGAGCUCCGGGAUCGGCGUCCUGGCCGGAGUCUGGGUGUGCGCGUGGACCCACCCACUCGGCUUCGCAAUUAACUGUGCCGUGCAAUUUCAGAAAAGGGCGCCGGAUAGACCGAGGAGAGAGGGGUCCUCGGGAAUGGAUUGAGAAGGAAAGUCAGGUCUGAGAUGAAGCUCAACUAUUACUAUUUUGAAAGUGCUUUACAGUGCAAGUUUAAAAUUAGAGUGUUUACUUGUUUUUUUUUUUUGUCCACCGGGCAUGUGCCACGUCCACCAAAGUCAGAGGAACGGGUGAGGGUCCAAAAAGUUGUUAGGAGUAAACUAUUGCCCAUCAAUAGCAUCAAUUGGCUAUAGAACAGCUUUUGUAUUUGGGAAGAACUUAUACGGAUCGUCAAUGAGAAAAAAAAAAAAAAUACAUGUUCUUUCUACAACUAGUCGCAUUUAGCAUCUUUCUCGACCACAUUUGCAAAAAGAGGGAAUAGAGACUUCUAUAAUUAAAGAGAAAAGGAAAAUGAAAGGAGCUCAAAAUACUGAACUGUGUAGUCUGGGUGGCUUACGUUUGAAAACAUAUGAAAUUAUCAGGACUGCCAAACAGCAUUUCUGAGAAACCAUAUCACAGAUUGUGAAAAAAAUCAAUGCUGAAAGAGUAGGAACAGGCACUGUAGUCCUACUCCUUUCAAGAAUCCCAGAAAUAGUUACUGAAGUUUUUUUUUUCUGCUGAGGAAAGAAAAAUGAUACAUGGAAAAUACAAUCAUCAACUAUAUCUUAAGCGCCAUUCUGUAUGUCUGGGAAAUUUUGGAUAACACCUUUUCUUUAGAUUUUGGGAUUGGGAACGAAUUUAUUCACAUUGAUACACACUAAAUAAUGGACACCAUAUGUAUGACACUGUAUUUAAGUUGUUUAAUGAAUUACUUUUUAAAAGUUUACUUCCUCUAGAUUUAUUAAACAGCAAUUGUACCAGUGGGCUCAUUUUUUAAAUUAUGACAAGUGAUAGUCGGUGCUAUGCCACAAACAAAAUUAACCAAUUUUUAUUGGAGAGCAAAUCAUUUGAGCUCAGGCUAACAACUACUUCAUGACGAUUUUAAGAACACCUGUGUGUUAUAUAUUAGUAAAGCAGGUUUAAAAAAAAAAAAAACACCUGUCAGUUAUCUAAUUAAAAGUAAUUUUCCUAAAGUCAUAUUUGGGAAAAACCAAACAGAACUCCACAAAUCACUCUAAUCACCCCCAUAGAUAGCAGAGAUUUUAAAUUAUAAUAGAAAAUCAGAGUGUUCAUAAUACAUAAAUUCUCAAUAUAUAAAGGGUAACUUCUCUAAACUGCUGUAAAUCCCCCUAAAUACUACACCUAAGUGUUUUAAGUAUCUGCAAAAUUGUGGAGAUCCUUAGAAAAGAUGAAUUGAAAUAUAUUCAAAAUUAAGAUGAAAUAAAUAUCAGGAUAGUUUCAACAAUUUCAUUCUUUAGUAGAAGAGAAUUUGUUGUAAAGUCUUAAGGAAGCAUCCUCAAGUUUCCCCAAACUACCAGUUGAUAUUAGACUUUGCCCCUAGCUGAUUAGAGCUUAAUUUAGCACCCUUGAAAGCCUAUCCUUUGCAUGAGUUGCUUUCAUUGGCUCCCUAAUCACCAGAGGCACGCUCUCUCCCUCUAGUGGCUAAAUGUCCAGACGAUUGACUUUUUAUGGCCCUGCCUCCCCAAGAAUGGGGGAUUUGGGCAGGGAGCAAUGGCUCCCAAAUUUUACAAUGGCAAAGAUCUCACGAGAAUUAGACCAUAUGGGGAAAACAUCCCUCUUCUUGACAUCCUAUGUUUCUUUCUGAUUUGUAGAUCAUGGUGUAUCUCAUUCACCCCAAAAAAGUCAAGAUUAUGUUUACAUACUAAGACUAAAGAUUCUAUUUCAUCCUCUAUAGUGUCCCACAUUGGGGAAGGAAACUUUGUAUAAACUGUAGUAAUUUGUUCACAGUUUUUCUCAACAGUUUUUUGUUUGCUUGUUUGUUUGUUUUGUUUUGUUAGAGUGGUUAGAGGAGAUCUGUAUUCCAGCCUUUGGGAUAAGUGCACACAUUUUUAAAGUAUAUUUAUAGUUAUAGUAUGCAUACAAAUGUAUCCCCAGAAAGGGUGGUAGCAAAUUCUUUGGUUACUGUAUCCAACUGGAGAGUUAAAGUUUCAUUUAGGAAGUGGGGUGAGGAGGUAAGGAAAGAGCAUACCCCACCCCCACCAUUUUUCACAUAGCUGGUUCUUUCUCCUCCCUUCUGUCCUGUCCUACCGAAACUGCAUCUUCUCAGCACCAACCUCUCUCCUAGCACUUGCACAUUUCCUUCAUUAUACAGUGUGUAAAUAUGUUACUCACUUAUUGAAUUUUUAAAAGAAAAAUCUGUCUCCCCCACUAGAAUGUCAUCCUUUUAAGGGCAGAGAUUAGGUCUGUCCUACUAAAUAUUGUUUACUCAGAACUAGCACAAUAUUUUGCAUUAGCUGAUACUCUAACCAUUUUACUGAGUGGAUGAAUAUGGAGCUAGUCACAUACUCACCUAGCUUCCAAGUGGAAAAUGCUCUUCAAGGUCCAAAAAGGGUAGGAUGUCAAAGAUACACUCUAAUUCCAUAAAGAAUGUAGUCCAAUUGUGGCUCAUAAGUCAUGUUACAAAUCAUCUUAACAGGUUGGCUCUGUCUUAUGAUCCACGUGAAGAAUGUGAAUGGCUUAGUAAAUAAGUUUUGCAAGUAUAAAUAGCAAAAGUGGUUAAAAUAAUUUUGAGUAGAAUACCCUUAUAUGCCCCCUCUGUUUCAUAAACAAGUUAUUUCAUGUUAAUACCUGAUGGUUCAUGAACCAAACUACCAAAGAAUGCAAUAGAUUUAAUUCUGUAACAACUAAGUGCAAUUCGUGAAAGAACGUUUUUAAAAGGCAUUGCAGCUAAAAGGUACAUAAUGAAGUAUUAGUUUUAUUUUCUUCAGAUAGUUUAUUUUAUCUCUUUUAGAUUUAAAAGCCCAAGUACCCUUUAAAGGAAUUUGAAUAAAAGUACAUUUUUGUUUAUUUAAGUAAUUAACUUUAAAUCUUGGUUUUGUUUUUUUGCAGAGUGUAGGAAGAUGUCUCUUUGAAACAUUGCAAUCCUUGCCUAAUAU
rnacentral:lncRNA from 1 species